AGAAAUAAAAAAAAGCCAAGUUAUUUCAAUGUAAGCAUGUUAAAUAACUGGCAUCUGUCCUGAAAUCUUGUAAAACAAAUUGUAGCUCUGUGCAAUUAAGUCCUCUGGGUUAUAGUAUCCUCCAAGAUUAGACAUCUCUAAUGGGAGUGUUGACAAGCCCUUCAGUGUAGCAUUGCAGUGGUGCCCCCUCAGAGAAAGAAGCAAAGCUCCGGGGAAAUAAUUAAAGAACAUUUUGGUCAGCCUGUGAUGCAAAUACAAAUUUUUCAGGUUAUGCAGAAAUAAACUGGAAACCCACAGAACAUCACCAAAAGAGACUAAGGAGACUGAGUGAUGCUUGUCCAAAUGGGCCUGAAAGGAAACAAAAAGGCUGGGAAGACAGAGAACAAGAAGGUUUUGGAGUAGCUGUGGCUCAGGAAAAUCUCUCUCUCCUCCCUGUCCCUCUAAUUUUUUAUUGUAGUCUGACAGUGGAGACAAAAGUAACCCAUCUUUUCAUUAAUCCUAAACCCUUCUCCUUCAUCUGGAAAACUGACAUCAAUUAUUAAUUUGGAUUCACAUUGUACUAAUUCGGAAUCUUGCUAGGGAACAGUACUUGCAUAUCCAGAUCUGUUAUUUUCACCAGUGUGGGCCUCUAUUCUGUGUCAAGCAAAGCUUUUCUUGUUACCUUUUAACAGUCCUACAAAUAGUAGGGUCUGCUCCUUACACAGACCAUACUUGGCCAGCUCAAUACUUCCAGUUGUUCUUCAGCUCUGUUACUUUUUGCUUCAAGAAGCAAAUUUAGUGCAAAAAACAUCAAGGAAAAAAAAUAUUUUAAAAUUGAUUUCUUAAUUGUUGAUGGCUAUCUAACAAAGCCAACUUUUGGUUAUUUUGGCAGUACAGUAAAUUUAGGAGGUAUCUGAUCUUCAGUGGGGCAUUUCUGGAUAAGAAAACAGUCAAAUUUAAAUCAAGACUUGAAAAAUUAAGAGUCAUAAACUACAGGGAGGAGCCAAGUCAUGAAGUCUCUUCUUUCUCUCCUUUCCCACUUUUCCUCAUACAGCCAUGAUUCACUGAGGGAGUGUUUUGAACAUUUCCACAACUGCAAGCAUUUGGACAGAAGGAAUGGGUGAAGAAAAUGUAUUUUAACAAUUAGCCAAUACAUGGUGGUCUCUCCUAAAAAAUCAAAAGGCAAGAAGUAGAUACAUCCAAGGCGUGAAAAGGAGAUAGGAUGUUUAAAUCACUUUUAUCAUUUUUUUGUACAUACUGAUGUUUAAAAUGGUAUUGGUUAAUGAUACAAUAUUUUUUCUAAUGUACCCUAGAGUCCCUAAUUAUUGCUUGAGCCACCUGAAGGGAUUAUUUAAUUUUUAAAUAAUUUCUGCAGCGAAAUGAGGAGAUCCCACAUUGGCUGCAUGAGCAUUCUUGCCAUUGCCCGUGGCUGGAGUUGCCUGAUGCCGUGAGUUUUCUAUUUCAUGGACCACUGUGAGAGAAAAUCACGUGCUGAGGGAGUAACCCAGCAAUGAAGGAGUAAAUAGCUGCUGCUCUGAAGAUCAGCUUAUUAAGAGGCAGACAUCUGAAUGAAUUUUUUUAAUUGUUUACUUAUAAGUUGGGGAUUUGUGAAAUGUGACAAAUAAGGAAGUAAUUGAGAGUGCCUGCUGCACUGAGAUCUGUCUCUGCCAACAUAGUUCUCUGCUGUGGUGCUGUUGUUUAUGGUGUGGCACAGGCAGGAGAAGGAGGUGUGCAAGGGAAUAUCCACUGGAGCCAGAACGGCAGGGCCUUGAAAAUUCCAUAUGCGGAUCCCAGAGUAGAGUAAGACACCAUCAGGAGACUGGAACCUGUGCCAGCCUGCAGAGGCCUGUCCUCCAGCUGAGAACAGCUCAAGUGCAACAUGUGCUGGCCCUGUGUCCUCCUCUGCCUUGUUCAGUUUUCCUUUGAGCUGAAAAGACAUGGGAAGAACCUGCCACCUCUGCCAGCUGUGCCAGAAAACUUCUUUCCUGAAGAAGUCGUGUGAUUGAUCUCUGAAGCAACUGCUCAGUUACAAUCCCACAAGUAACAUGGAAUUGCUGUCUGCUUGUGUUCUCUGGUAGUGAUUUUUACCAGGAUUCUGUACCUGGCAACAGCACCUCAGCCCAUCUCUGCGUGAAUCCAGUCCAACUCUGAAUAUCUCUAGCACUAAGCACACAGAAAGAUUACUUAGAUGUUUAGGAUUUCUCUUCACAAAGCAGAUGAUACAGAUGCUCAGGAAGAUUCAGUGAAAUGAUGGUGUAAUGGUAAAGAUUUGAUUGUGCUAGUCCACCGGUUUGUGAACUUUAAGGAAAAUACUUCAGAAAUCACAGUUUGAGAUUUCUUCCCCACAGAUUAUUUUAAACUGUGCCAUAAGUGGGUGGAAGAUCUCCAGCAACAUAACUUUGUAGUACGAAAAUGCCUUCAAGCUGUCCCAGAAGACAAGUGCUUUAAACAGAGAUGUGUCCCCAAGGUACAGAUCCAUGGGGUUCAUGCCAAGAACACGGACAAAUCCUUCUACUACUGCCCUGCUGGCCACCUGGAAGUACAGAAAGCAAGCAACCAGCUUAUUCAACUGCAAAAUCUACUUAAAAGAAGGGAUUAUCAUGUUCCUUCCUCUCUGGGAAAAGGGAGAAAGACUGACCAGGAAAACAUGACUGAUAGUAACAUUCAGUAUUCAUGACUGAUAGUAAAUGAUCAAAGAUGAUUAAAUUGGUUCCAUUCCCAUAAUCACUACAUUUUUUCAUCAUUUCACAGGUAACAUUCAGAAAUCACGACUGAUAGUAAAUGUAUUUUUUUAAUGAUCAAAUCUGUUCCAUUCCCAUAAUCACUACAUUUUUUUAUGAUCUCACACAUAACAUUCAGAAAUCAUCACUGAUAGGAAAUGGUAAAAAAUGAUUAAAUCAUCUGUUACAUUCCCUGAAUCACUGCACUUUUUUAUAAUCUCACAGAAACAUUCAGAAAUCAUGACUGAUAGUA